GAUGAAGAACGUAGCGAAAUGCGAUAAGUAAUGUGAAUUGCAGAAUUCAGUGAAUCAUCGAAUCUUUGAACGCACAUUGCGCCCGCCAGUAUUCUGGCGGACAUGCCUGUUCGAGCGUCAUUUCAACCAUCAAGCCCCCGGCUUGUGUUGGGGACCUGCGGCUGCCGCAGGCCCUGAAAAGCAGUGGCGGGCUCGCUGUCACACCGAGCGUAGUAGCAUACAUCUCGCUCUGGGCGUGCUGCGGGUUCCGGCCGUUAAACCACCUUCAUAACCCAAGGUUGACCUCGGAUCAGGUAGGAAGACCCGCUGAACUUAAGCAUAUCAAUAAGCGGAGGA
rnacentral:misc_RNA from 1 species